rnacentral:lncRNA from 1 species
GUUAUUGUUGCAAACUCCAUUAGAAAUUUGAAUUGAUAGCAGUUUUGGAAAAAGGGAAACGGGGAUGUGAAAAAAAGGGGGGGGGGGGGUUAAAUUUUUCUCAUUUCAGAUUUCAUAAAUAAAAAGAAAAUUUCUUCAAACAUUUUUUUGAGAGGAUUAAUAUUCAACAGCAUAGUGAAUUGCUCAAAGGCAAAAAAAAACUUUUAAGUUCAUUAGACC